AAACACUGCAUAAACAAUCAGCUCACAUGUGUGUCCCAGAGCGUAUGACCAAUGACCUGGAGAACUCUCAGGCUGUGGGGUGGAGAGAAGGCCAUUCUGAGGUCAACUGAAACCUCACUUGAGGGGCAGUUCCGUAGAUGGGAAUGAGGAGAGAGUCAUGGCCACAGCCACCUGGCCAAGGAGAGAGGCCAUAACUGCCAGACAGAACCAAGGAUGGAGGGACUUCAGCAGCACGAACAAUCCACACUCAGCAUGGGUCACUCUCUGGGACACACAUUUCCCUCUGGCUGAAAGGCUGAGCUGCUCCAGGGCCAACUGUGAGGUCAGACAGCUGCCCAGGGAUGUCUCCAGCCACUCAAGGGAAGAAGAGACCACUCACCUGUAAUUUCAACAGCAACAAAAGACCUGAGGUUCCACCAUCAGAACUUCACGCCCUAAGGAAGAUGCAGCAUUUCCUGUAAAAUGCAAGUGCUCCCAGGCAGAGAAACCCUGGGCCCCUUCCCCAGCUGUCAUGAAGGUGCCUGAGUGAUGGUCAGAGAGAUGACCGGAGGGGCCCACCCGGCCACCGCAGCAGCAGCAGCCAAGGCGGGACUAAGCCUCCACACCCCACAUCUCAGUCGUGGCCAGCCCGGGAUGCCUGCCUCUCCUGCCCUGUGGUGUUGCUGUCCUCAUAUGACCCUUCAGUCCCCCGACAUGUGAGUCUCCUGGGGACUCAGACCUGCAGCUCCUCACUCAGUCCCUGCCUUGGCACCCCUCCCACCAAAAAGUCUUCUCCACAGGCCCUGGCUUGCUGCCCUCCCCCCAGACAUCCCCUGGUCUCCCCCAGCCUCCCCACCUCUAAACUCAUCAUUUGUGCUCUUCCUCCACAUGGCUACCAAAGUCAUCUUUCAUUUUUAAUUUGUAUUUAACCAAAAUAACAUAUAAGCACAUUAUUUUCAAAAAUAGUGCUACAAAUUCAGGAAUGCAAACUAGGAAUAUAAAUAAACUUUCUUUUUUCUCUGUUGCUCUCCUUCCUUCCUUCCUUUCCUUCCUUCCUUCCUCCCUCUCUCUCUUUCUUCCUGUCUCUCUUCUUCUCUCUUUCUCUCUCUCUUUCUUUCUCUCUUUCUUCCUUUUCCUUUCUUUCUUUCUUUCUCUUUCUUUCUUUCCUUCCUUCCUUCAUUCCUUCCUCCCUUCCUUCUCUUUCUUUCUUUCCUCCUUUCUUCUUUCUCUC
rnacentral:lncRNA from 1 species